CGACUGCUAUCGGGGUGGCGCUAAGCCAUGGGAGUCGGACAUCCCACCGCCGUGGGGUGUGGCGAACGGCUGAGUAACACGUGGCUAACCUACCCUCGGGACGGGGACAACUCCGGGAAACUGGAGCUUAUCCCCGAUAGGCGGGGAGUCCUGGAACGGUUCUCCGCCCAAAGGGAUGGGAGGGAGUUAUCGCCUUCUAUCCGCCCGAGGAUGGGGCUGCGUCCCAUCAGGUUGUUGGCGGGGUAACGGCCCGCCAAGCCUAUAACGGGUAGGGGCCGUGAGAGCGGGAGCCCCCAGAUGGGCACUAAGACAAGGGCCCAGGCCCUACGGGGCGCACCAGGCGGGAAACCUCCGCAAUGCGGUAACCCGUGACGGGGUCACCCCGAGUGCUCCCCUUAUGGGGAGCUUUUCCCCGCUGUAGGAAGGCGGGGGUAAUAAGUGGGGGGCAAGACUGGUGUCAGCCGCCGCGGUAAUACCAGCCCCACGAGUGGUCGGGACGGUUAUUGGGCCUAAAGCGCCCGUAGCCGGCCCAGCAAGUUCCUGCCUAAAUCACCGGGCUCAACCCGGUGACUGGUGGGAAUACUGCUGGGCUAGGAGGCGGGAGAGGCCGGGGGUACUCCUAGGGUAGGGGCGAAAUCCUAUAAUCCUAGGAGGACCACCAGUGGCGAAGGCGCCCGGCUGGAACGCGCUCGACGGUGAGGGGCGAAAGCUGGGGGAGCAAACCGGAUUAGAUACCCGGGUAGUCCCAGCUGUAAACGAUGCGGACUAGGUGUUGGACGGACCUAGGGUCCGUCCAGUGCCGCAGGGAAGCCGUUAAGUCCGCCGCCUGGGGAGUACGGCCGCAAGGCUGAAACUUAAAGGAAUUGGCGGGGGAGCACCACAAGGGGUGGAGCCUGCGGCUUAAUUGGAGUCAACGCCGGGAACUUUACCGGGGGCGACAGCAGGAUGACGGCCAGGCUAAUGACCUUGCCCGACGCGCUGAGAGGAGGUGCACGGCCGUCGCCAGCUCGUGCCGUGAGGUGUCUGGUUAAGUCCAGCAACGAGCGAGACCCCCGCCCCUAAUUGCUACCCGCUCCUUCGGGAGCGGGGCACAUUAGGGGGACUGCCGGCGUCUAAGCCGGAGGAAGGUGGGGGCCACGGCAGGUCAGCAUGCCCCGAAACCCCCGGGCUGCACGCGGGCUACAAUGGCUGGGACAGCGGGAACCGACCUCGAAAGAGGGAGGUAAUCCCUCAAACCCAGCCGCAGUUGGGAUCGAGGACUGAAACCCGUCCUCGUGAACGAGGAAUCCCUAGUAACCGCGCGUCAUCAUCGCGCGGUGAAUACGUCCCUGCUCCUUGCACACACCGCCCGUCGCUCCACCCGAGUGGGGAGAGGGUGAGGCCCUGCUCCGAAUGGGGUAGGGUCGAACCCUCUCCCUGCGAGGGGGGAG
rnacentral:rRNA from 1 species